rnacentral:rRNA from 1 species
UGGGGAAUAUUGCACAAUGGAGGCAACUCUGAUGCAGCAAUGUCGCGUGAGUGAAGAAGGCCCUUGGGUAGUAAAGCUCUUUUAUGGGGGAAGAUGAUGACGGUACCCCAAGAAUAAGCACCGGCUAACUAUGUGCCAGCAGCCGCGGUAAUACAUAGGGUGCGAGCGUUGUUCGGAAUUACUGGGCGUAAAGGGCGCGCAGGCGGAAUAGUAAGUCGGAGGUGAAAGCCCGGGGCUCAACCCCGGAGGGUCUUUCGAAACUGCUAAUCUAGAGAGGGUCAGGGGCCGGCAGAAUUCCUGGUGUAGAGGUGAAAUUCGUAGAUAUCAGGAGGAAUACCGGUGGCGAAGGCGGCCGGCUGGGGCCACUCUGACGCUGAGGCGCGAAAGCGUGGGGAGCAAACAGGAUUAGAUACCCUGGUAGUCCACGCCGUAAACGAUGAGCACUGGACGUCCGGAGGGUUCGACCCUUCUGGGUGUCUCAGCUAACGCAUUAAGUGCUCCGCCUG